CCUACGGGAGGCAGCAGUGAGGAAUAUUGGUCAAUGGACGAGAGUCUGAACCAGCCAAGUAGCGUGAAGGAUGACUGCCCUAUGGGUUGUAAACUUCUUUUAUAUGGGAAUAAAAUGUUCCACGUGUGGGAUUUUGUAUGUACCAUAUGACUAAGGAUCGGCUAACUCCGUGCCAGCAGCCGCGGUAAUACGGAGGAGCCGAGCGUUAUCCGGAUUGAUUGGGUUUAAAGGGAGCGUAGGUGGAUUGUUAAGUCAGUUGUGAAAGUUUGCGGCUCAACCGUAAAAUUGCAGUUGAAACUGGCAGUCUUGAGUACAGUAGAGGUGGGCGGAAUUCGUGGUGUAGCGGUGAAAUGCUUAGAUAUCACGAAGAACUCCGAUUGCGAAGGCAGCUCACUGGACUGCAACUGACACUGAGGCUCGAAAGUGUGGGUAUCAAACAGGAUUAGAUACCCGGGUAGUC
rnacentral:rRNA from 1 species